CCUACGGGGGGCUGCAGUCGAGAAUCAUUCACAAUGGGGGAAACCCUGAUGGUGCGACGCCGCGUGGGGGAAUGAAGGUCUUCGGAUUGUAAACCCCUGUCAUGUGGGAGCAAAUUAAAAAGAUAGUACCACAAGAGGAAGAGACGGCUAACUCUGUGCCAGCAGCCGCGGUAAUACAGAGGUCUCAAGCGUUGUUCGGAAUCACUGGGCGUAAAGCGUGCGUAGGCUGUUUCGUAAGUCGUGUGUGAAAGGCGCGGGCUCAACCCGCGGACGGCACAUGAUACUGCGAGACUAGAGUAAGGGAGGGGGAACCGGAAUGCUCGGUGUAGCAGUGAAAUGCGUAGAUAUCGAGAGGAACACUCGUGGCGAAGGCGGGUUCCUGGACAUUAACUGACGCUGAGGCACGAAGGCCAGGGGAGCGAAAGGGAUUAGAUACCCCGGUAGUC
rnacentral:rRNA from 1 species